UGGGGAAUAUUGCACAAUGGGCGCAAGCCUGAUGCAGCAAUGCCGCGUGAGUGAAGACGGCCUUAGGGUCGUAAAGCUCUUUCGCCUGUGAAGAUAAUGACGGUAGCAGGUAAAGAAGCCCCGGCUAACUCCGUGCCAGCAGCCGCGGUAAUACGGAGGGGGCGAGCGUUAUUCGGAAUUAUUGGGCGUAAAGGGCGCGUAGGCGGCCCGAUAAGUCCAAGGUGAAAGCCCUCGGCUCAACCGAGGAACUGCCUUGGAUACUGUCGGGCUCGAGGCUGGAAGAGGGUGAUGGGAAUUUCCCCGGUGUAGCGGUGAAAUGCGUAGAUAUCGGGAGGAACACCGGUGGCGAAGGCGGUCACCUGGGCCAGUACUGACGCUGAGGCGCG
rnacentral:rRNA from 1 species